AUAGAAAUACCAUUUGACCCAGCAAUCCCAUUACUGGGUAUGUACCGAAAGGAUUAUAAAUAAUUCUACCGUAAAGACACAUGAAAACAGAAAUCAUUCUAUGAUA